CGUACACUCCUACGGGAGGCAGCAGUGGGGAAUUUUGGACAAUGGGCGAAAGCCUGAUCCAGCCAUGCCGCGUGCAGGAUGAAGGCCUUCGGGUUGUAAACUGCUUUUGUACGGAACGAAACGGCCUUUUCUAAUAAAGAGGGCUAAUGACGGUACCGUAAGAAUAAGCACCGGCUAACUACGUGCCAGCAGCCGCGGUAAUACGUAGGGUGCAAGCGUUAAUCGGAAUUACUGGGCGUAAAGCGUGCGCAGGCGGUUAUGUAAGACAGUUGUGAAAUCCCCGGGCUCAACCUGGGAACUGCAUCUGUGACUGCAUAGCUAGAGUACGGUAGAGGGGGAUGGAAUUCCGCGUGUAGCAGUGAAAUGCGUAGAUAUGCGGAGGAACACCGAUGGCGAAGGCAAUCCCCUGGACCUGUACUGACGCUCAUGCACGAAAGCGUGGGGAGCAAACAGGAUUAGAUACCCUUGUAGUCCCAUG
rnacentral:rRNA from 1 species